AUGUUGGCUCUUCCGUUCAUCCACUCUUAAAUAUAUUUGUUUUCCUAAUAAAUUCGUCAUGAAAUGGUUGGACGGCUGGCAAAUAACAUAAAAACACACCGUGGACUUUGAUCUCUCUACGUGUAGCUCCGCAUAUUCGUCGAAUAAAGCGAAUACCUCUAUACAUAUAGCCAGACUUAAAAGCAAAAACACAAUACCACAUACCGACACACGGCAUAUAAUGAAAUAAGCAAGCAAAAGAUACAAAUAUACUUACUAAUUCGCAUGACCAUAAAAACUUACAUAUUGUUAUUUAUUUCGAAUGAAUUUGGCUGGCGACUUUUUUUGUGAAAUGAGACGAGUAUGCUCACCAGAGACACCAGACACAUUUAUAAAUGCUUGAAAACAACUUUUCCUAAACAGUAAGUGAUCCAGAAAGUUGAAAGCCGAGCUUCUCAUUAUACUAGAAGCAGAGCUCGGAAAACAUUUACCAGAUGCAUCGGUAUGAAACGUUUUUUUGUGAAAAAGAAAUGCUAAUACAAAGUAUUGGCCAAUGCUUUUUGCAUAUCAAACCUAUCAGACACCGAAUUUUCGGCUUCUUCGUAGGAAUCAAAGUGCUGCUCAGCCAAAGCGUGUCGACCGUAUCGAUGAAAACAUAUUGUAGGGUGAGGAUACAGAGUAGAAUUUUGGGGAGGGGGAACUACACAUAUAAUUUUGCACUUGAUUUGAGAAAAUGAGAAAUGUGUAACUGUAGACUAUAAUUUUAUUUUUAAUAUAUUUAUGUAAGUAUGUA